CGCGGGGUAGAGCAGUUGGUAGCUCGUCGGGCUCAUAACCCGGAGGUCGAAGGUUCAAGUCCUUCCCCCGCUA
rnacentral:tRNA from 1 species